AUAAAGGUUUUUUUUAAAACCAAACAUAAUCUUGAUCUCUUGACAU
rfam:Monodelphis domestica chromosome 1, whole genome shotgun sequence.